rnacentral:rRNA from 1 species
GACGUAGGGGGCCAGCGUUGUUCGGAAUUACUGGGUGUAAAGGGUUCGUAGGCGGUGUAGCAAGUCGGGAGUGAAAUCUCUGGGCUUAACCCAGAGGCUGCUUCCGAAGCUGCUGUGCUUGAGUGUGGGAGAGGCGCGUGGAAUUGCAGGUGUAGCGGUGAAAUGCGUAGAUAUCUGCAGGAACACCCGUGGCGAAAGCGGCGCGCUGGACCACUACUGACGCUGAGGAACGAAAGCUAGGGGAGCAAACAGG